AGUGAACGCUGGCGGUAGGCCUAACACAUGCAAGUCGAACGGCAGCACAGUAAGAGCUUGCUCUUACGGGUGGCGAGUGGCGGACGGGUGAGGAAUACAUCGGAAUCUACUUUUUCGUGGGGGAUAACGGAGGGAAACUUACGCUAAUACCGCAUACGACCUACGGGUGAAAGCAGGGGAUCUUGGGAGCUUGCGCGAUUGAAUGAGCCGAUGUCGGAUUAGCUAGUUGGCGGGGUAAAGGCCCACCAAGGCAACGAUCCGUAGCCGGUCUGAGAGGAUGAUCAGCCACACUGGAACUGAGACACGGUCCAGACUCCUACGGGAGGCAGCAGUGGGGAAUCUUCGACAAUGGGCGAAAGCCUGAUCCAGCCACACCGCGUGGGUGAAGAAGGCCUUCGGGUCGUAAAGCCCUUUUGUUGGGAAAGAAAAGCAUCAGGUGAAUACCCCGCUGUUCUGACGGUACCCAAAGAAUAAGCACCGGCUAACUUCGUG
rnacentral:rRNA from 1 species